rnacentral:rRNA from 1 species
UUCCCCUAGUAACUGCGAGUGAAGCGGGAAAAGCUCAAAUUUAAAAUCUGGCAGUCUUACUGUCCGAGUUGUAAUCUAGAGAAGCAUUAUCCGCGUUGGACCGUGUACAAGUCUCCUGGAAUGGAGCGUCAUAGAGGGUGAGAAUCCCGUCUUUGACACGGACUGCCAAGGCUUUUGUGAUGUGCUCUCAAAGAGUCGAGUUGUUUGGGAAUGCAGCUCAAAAUGGGUGGUAAAUUCCAUCUAAAGCUAAAUAUUGGCGAGAGACCGAUAGCGAACAAGUACCGUGAGGGAAAGAUGAAAAGAACUUUGGAAAGAGAGUUAAACAGUACGUGAAAUUGCUGAAAGGGAAACGCUUGAAGUCAGUCGCGUUGAUCAGAGAUCAACCUUGCUUUUGCUUGGUGUAUUUUCUGGUUUGACGGGUCAGCAUCAAUUUUGAUCAUUGGAAAAAGGUCAAGGGAAUGUGGCAUCUUCGGAUGUGUUUAUAGCCCUUGGUUGUAUGCAAUGGUUGGGAUUGAGGAACUCAGCACGCCGCAAGGCCGGGUUUUUAACCACGUACGUGCUUAGGAUGCUGGCAUAAUGGCUUUAAUCGACCCGUCUUGAAACACGGACCAAGGAGUCUAACAUGCCUGCGAGUGUUUGAGUGGAAAACUCAAGCGCGUAAUGAAAGUGAAAGUUGAGAUCCCUGUCGUGGGGAGCAUCGACGCCUGGACCUGACCUUUUGUGACGGUUCCACGGUAGAGCAUGUAUGUUGGGACCCGAAAGAUGGUGAACUAUGCCUGAAUAGGGUGAAGCCAGAGGAAACUCUGGUGGAGGCUCGUAGCGAUUCUGACGUGCAAAUCGAUCGUCAAAUUUGGGUAUAGGGGCGAAAGAC